GUAGGGAAUCUUGCGCAAUGGGCGAAAGCCUGACGCAGCCAUGCCGCGUGAAUGAUGAAGGUCUUAGGAUUGUAAAAUUCUUUCACCGGGGACGAUAAUGACGGUACCCGGAGAAGAAGCCCCGGCUAACUUCGUGCCAGCAGCCGCGGUAAUACGAAGGGGGCUAGCGUUGCUCGGAAUUACUGGGCGUAAAGGGAGCGUAGGCGGAUAGUUUAGUCAGAGGUGAAAGCCCAGGGCUCAACCUUGGAAUUGCCUUUGAUACUGGCUAUCUUGAGUAUGGAAGAGGUAUGUGGAACUCCGAGUGUAGAGGUGAAAUUCGUAGAUAUUCGGAAGAACACCAGUGGCGAAGGCGACUGACUGGACAAGUAUUGACGCUGAGGUGCGAAAGCGUGGGGAGCAAACAGGAUUAGAUACCCUUGUAGUCC
rnacentral:rRNA from 1 species